CUGGGGUCCACGUUCUCCCGAGUGCUUCCCGCUUUCUCACAUUUACAGGUCCUCCUUAUUUAUGAUUUUUUUUUUUACUGUCUACUCCCACUAGUCUGUAAGCGACCGGGGUCAACUUCUGUCUGCCUUGUCUCCCCCUGUGACCCGAGCGCCGUAUGAAUGAAUGCUGGCGCGGGCUGGCCCUGGACGCUUAGCUGCCGAGAAACGAGGUGCGUCGCCGGCGACACUGGGCCAUUGCAAGUUCACAGGCGUGACGACCCCCCGCCGCGGCUGUCCUUCCCGGAGCGAGCCAGUACACGCGUCGUUCAGCUGUGGCUCGGGGACCUCCCUGCCGUGUCCCCCAAACCGAGGAUGCUGGGAGCAGCGUGCCGUCCUUCGGCAGGACCAGAUGUGGCCCUUGGCCAGCUCGCCGUGGGGGCACGUCAGCUCGACCGCUCUUGGCCACGGUUCAGUGCCCAGAUCUUGAUCGUCUCAUGAGACUCGACAGCACACCGUUCCAUUAAAUGGGUGACGUCCCAUUGACAGGCGGCAGAGCCAGGCCUUAGUGAUACUCUAGACACUAAGAUAAUACACGUGCUUGCCAAAGGGAUACAUCCGUGAACAUUUAGGAACUCGCCACAGCUGUGUGAAAUUUGGGGGGUUCAGUGGUAAGAAAAUGUCAAGACUUCCCUCAACAGUCAAAGACAAGUUGUUACACCUUGAGUACCUUAACGCUAGGAAGAAGACGUACAUUUUGACGGGUGCAUCAAAUACUCAGCUGCCUUUAGCUUCAAGUAACAGGAGUUGGAAAGAACAGUAACUUUCUGCCGUCAACGGCAUGCCUCCUGGCUCAGGAUGGCUGCGAGAGCUCUCGCCAUCAUUUCCAUGUUCUUGACAGGAACUGGGGGGCUGGGCCAGGGGUGGAAGGACAAACGGGAUUUCCUGGAAGGCACCCAACAACUAACACCUACAGGUAGCAAGAGCCCCAGAGCAGACCCGCGCUGAGCACGGGCCCCGCCAAGGAGGCCUAGCUGGGCCACACCAUGAGCAGCUCUCACUUGGCAGUGCUGCUCGACGAGACGCCGGUGGAGGCUGUGGCAAGCGCCGACAGAACAGGGUGGGAGGCCCCCGGGCUGGGAGCAAAGCCAUAUCCUCUUAGGAAAUACAUCGUGAUUUGGAGGUGCGAGUUUUGGCUUGCCCCUGGGCUCCGCCUCAGACCGUACAUGAGGCCAUGAGUAUAUCACAGGCCCGUGUGAUCUGAAGUGCCCAUUGGUGACAUGAAACAAUAAUGCGGGGUCUGCCCAGAAGUACACUGUCAUCGGGGGGAUGGGGGUUGACCUCGAGCACGGGUAAGUUGCAUGAGCAAGUGGGCCACACCCCUGGCAUGCCCUGCUUCCCCACCUCAGCCUACACCUGUGACCUCAUGAAGUUUCCGGCGACACGUCUGACAACAUUAUUCUCGUUAUACUAAUAA